CAUUAACUUAAGUGUGCACAAUAAGACAUUCUAUUUUAGAAAUGGGAAUAUGUUUGGCUGCUUUAGAUUUAAUUCAUUGUAGUCCUCAUGAAUACCUUCCCUAAAGUUGAAAACUAAUUUGCUUUUAAUCUACACUCUACAUCCACAGGAAUCUGAGGAAGAGGAUGAAGAUGAGGAUGAGGAGGAUGAAGAGGAAGAUGACGAUGAGGAUGAGAAUGGUGAUUCCUCUGAGGAGGGAGGAGACUCUUCAGAUUCAAGUAGUGAAGAGGAGAGUGAAGAUGGGGAAGAGAAUGAAGAAGAGGAUGACGAAGAAGAUGACGAUGACGACGAGGACAAUGAAUCAGAAGGCAGCAGCAGUUCCUCAUCCUCUUCAGGAGACUCUUCCGAUUCGGACUCCAACUGAAUUGUCUUUCAUCUUCCACCUUCCUUGCUGUACUUUAUUCGGUUUUGUUUUUCCGGAUAAUAGUAACAUUGCAGCUGGAAAGCUGGGAAUGGGGAAGAAACAGAGGGGGGGCGGGGGCGGGGGAGGGAAUCACUGUGGUUUAAUUCACUUCCUUUCUUCACACGCCUCACAUUGCAUUAACGAUGUGUGGGUGUGGCAGAGAGGAGCAAGGGGCAAGGUACACAAUAGCUGACAACCAGCUGAGGGGUGUACUUUUCCCUUUUUUUAUGGCUGAUGAUAGUGUGGGGAGAGAACUUCAUUAUAUAAUCCCUUCUCUCUCCCUCCCCUUAAAUCUCUGUUUAUGAGAGAUGACAGGGGUCAUAGCAAAAUCCAGACUCCUUUAACUUCUUUUCCCCCCUCUCAUCUUCAUCCUUCUUCCAACCCCCAGUUCUAGCCACCAGCUUGGGACUUUGUACAAAUCCUUUUUUAAACAACAACAUGGCAAUGAGAGACAUUUUCCCCUUUUUCUCCAUCAACCCCAGCAAACAGCCAAGGAGAGAUGGAUUCUGAAAGAGCACGAGCUGUGGGAAUUUGCCAGUGAGCCCCAUCACUCCUCAUAAUGGACAAUCUUGUAUAGUCUUGAUCUUUCACAUUUUAACAAAAGAGAAAGAGAGAAAGCAAACAAAGUGGCUGCAACUGCACUUAGCAAUUUCCUGUGACAAACUGGAUAUCCAGCAUUUCCUGCUGAGGGAAAUGGGAGUUGGGGAGGGUCAUAUUUUGUGUGAGCGUGUUGCAAGAGUCAAGGGAUAGAAGAGGAACUGAAGAACGGGAUUUUUUUAAUUUUAUUUUUUUGCAAAGGGGAAAUGUCUGGCAUACUGUUGAAGAUGGAGAGAAUUUCAAGAACUUCAAGUGACUGGCUUUAUUUUGCUGGAGAUGGACUUUUCUGUCAUUUUUCUGACCAGCGUUUGGAUAAAGACCAUAGUAGCCAGACCCCUUUGGGUUGAUGUUGUUGUUAAUAUAUAUAUUUUUUUUUACAAUGAAGUGACCAAUAAUUGUACCAAAAUGGGGCAUUUUGUUGACUGUCUUUGGGAGGGGUGGUUGGUUGUGGGGAUCAUAUGUGUCAUUAGCAUUUUUUAAAAAAUAUUUUAUAAACCAAGUAAGACAACCAUCUUUUUUUACAACAAAACGUUCCCUCUUUGACAUUAACCUCUUUACGUGUCUUUUACCAAAUGCAGAAUUUAGUAGUUUUAAGAUCUUGAGGAAAAAUGAUUUCUGUGAGACCGUGUAUUGAAGAAAUACAAAUGUAUGUUUUUUUUUCCAACAUGUCUUGAACACACUAAGUUGAAUUUUCAAUUCAAUUCUGGACAGAAAUGUGAUGUCAGGAAAAGAUCAGGCGCACAAUUUCUCUCUUCCUGCCCCAACCCUCUCUUUUCUUUAGCAUGGCUUUUAAAUAUCUGUGGAAGUUCUGUAAAUUAGGCUAUCAUUUAGGAGAAACUUAGCUAAGCAUAUAAAUCACAAAUAACCAAUCCUAGGUGAAGUUAAUAUUUUGUAUGUAGGCAUUGCAAUAAAACAAAGUUAAGUGAUAACA
ensembl:lncRNA